GGGAUAACUUCGGGAAACCGGAGCUAAUACCGGAUAAUAUUUUGAACCGCAUGGUUCAAAAGUGAAAGACGGUCUUGCUGUCACUUAUAGAUGGAUCCGCGCUGCAUUAGCUAGUUGGUAAGGUAACGGCUUACCAAGGCAACGAUGCAUAGCCGACCUGAGAGGGUGAUCGGCCACACUGGAACUGAGACACGGUCCAGACUCCUACGGGAGGCAGCAGUAGGGAAUCUUCCGCAAUGGGCGAAAGCCUGACGGAGCAACGCCGCGUGAGUGAUGAAGGUCUUCGGAUCGUAAAACUCUGUUAUUAGGGAAGAACAUAUGUGUAAGUAACUGUGCACAUCUUGACGGUACCUAAUCAGAAAGCCACGGCUAACUACGUGCCAGCAGCCGCGGUAAUACGUAGGUGGCAAGCGUUAUCCGGAAUUAUUGGGCGUAAAGCGCGCGUAGGCGGUUUUUUAAGUCUGAUGUGAAAGCCCACGGCUCAACCGUGGAGGGUCAUUGGAAACUGGAAAACUUGAGUGCAGAAGAGGAAAGUGGAAUUCCAUGUGUAGCGGUGAAAUGCGCAGAGAUAUGGAGGAACACCAGUGGCGAAGGCGACUUUCUGGUCUGUAACUGACGCUGAUGUGCGAAAGCGUGGGGAUCAAACAGGAUUAGAUACCCUGGUAGUCCACGCCGUAAACGAUGAGUGCUAAGUGUUAGGGGGUUUCCGCCCCUUAGUGCUGCAGCUAACGCAUUAAGCACUCCGCCUGGGGAGUACGACCGCAAGGUUGAAACU
rnacentral:rRNA from 1 species